AUGUGUUGUUGUUCGUAGUUUGUAACAGGGAAAUGGAGAGAAGGAAGCCGAAAGCAGUUUUCAUGGCCUUCGGCACUAAAGGCGAUGUCUUCCCUAUUGCCGCCAUUGCUGCAGCUUUUGCUUGUGACCAGAAACAAUACGAUGUGAUGUUAAUAACUCACUCCGCACACCAGAGUUUAAGUCAUCACUUGGCUGAAAAGCAUGUUCAAUAUUGCCCUGUUUCAUCGCCUCCAGUUCUCUGUGCUGAUCAAAAUAAUUAUACUGAUGGUUUGAACUAUCAAUUUGGUUCUAAUUAUAAAAUGUGGACUGCUAAUUAUGAGGGGAUGAAAUAUAUUACUAAUGAGUCUUUGAUUUUAUCAGGGAUAGCAGAGUCAUCCUUUUUCUUGCAGAAAAGGAAAAUUACAAUAGAUCAUAGACGAGAAUGCUAUUCUUUAUUUGAAAGGAUAUUUGGAGAUGGCCCAAGCUUGGACGGUGAUCUUAUUGUGAUAAAUUUUUUUGCUUUGGUAUUCUAAGUUGAAACUGUAGUCAAGAUGGACUUUUUUUGACAAGUUUAUGAUAUCUUUGGGGGAUGAGGUUUGAUUGAUGCUAAGACUUGAUGGCAAUUGAUUCUUAAAAAUGUCUUGAUUACUUCUUGGGAAGUGCUGAAUAAUUUUUAUAAGACUGCGUUUGUGUUCAAGGAAACACCUAACACUACUGGAAUAGAAAAUAGAAUCACCAAUCAUAUUCUAGUACUAAAUAUGGUGGGACGGAGUUUGCAGUAAGUGUUCCUGAUAGAAUGUUAUAAUAAUAUUAUUUUUCCAUGAAAUAACAUUAAGUGGAAUCAUCUUGUGUACUUAUGAAAUUUCUACACUAAGAUGUUAAGUGAUCUGGUAAAAUAGAUUUUCGUGAUGGUUCAGGAAGGAUGGAGCCUUGCAGAGGUUUUUCAUGUCCACUGCAUUGUAGCUGCUCCAUAUGUUGUUCCCUACAGGUACUUUCAAGUUCAUCCCCACGAAUGAUAUCAAACAUUUGGGAAUUUGGGUACAGCUUUAUACUUGUUUGGUGGCAAGCAAUUACACUUCUGUAAGAGCAUCAAUGGUCAUGAACUUCUCCUAACAUUUAGAACUCAGAUAGUUGAGGUUUCCUUAAUAAUAAAACAUAUAAUCUUAGAAAAUUAGUAAAUACCCAAUUGGGAUUGAUUGACAGAGUUAUCUUGAAUUAUUUAUUAGUUUCACCUGUUAAUUUUUACUUUGAUUGCAAGUGUAGGCACAAAAUACACAACUCUAUUCUGUUGGGAAAGAAAAUUGAAUUACAAUGUUCAAGUGAAAAGCAUUAUCUCUCAUUUCCUUGCCUCAAAAUACAACAUGCUUUCCAUAAAAAAUGAUUGUGACGAUGUGAAUGUAAAAUGUGUCAUCAAGUUGAUGAUUGACUAUAAUGUUGGAAGGUACAACACAUUUUGAAUUUUCGAUAAUUGCAUAAUGGAUUUUCUGUGCAGUGCACCUGCAACAUUUGAAAGUCAUUUCCAAAGAGAACUUCCUCUUUUGUAUAAAUAUCUCGUUGAUGCUCCUUCUGGUCUGCUGGAAGGAUGUGAUUCAUUGGAUGUGGCCUCUUUUCACAGAAAGUUGGGGAUUAUGGAGAAAUGAUGACUUGCAUAUUAGUCCACAUCCUUUUACUGUUUGUUUCCUAUACUUUUUUUGCGGCUUCUAGAAAAAAAUAAUUUCUAUCCUAAUAUUCUGUGUUUCAAACAAUAUGCUACCUGAGUUAGAUUGCUAUAGUAGACAUGUACCCUUGCAGAGAAGUAUGGGGUACCGUCAUUCUUUUGAAUUCACAGCGGCACUUCUUUUUUUGGUGAUUUCAGGAUCCAGUAACAGGCAUUCCUACUUGGCAUGAUAGACCACAAUCUCCUCUUUUGAUGUAUGGUUUUAGUAAAGAAGUUGUUGAAUGUCCUGCAUAUUGGCCAUCAAAAGUGCGGGUUUGUGGGUUUUGGUUUCUCCCGCCUGAAUGGCAAUUUACAUGUGAGAAAUGCAGAGAAAUUUCCGUAUAUUCAUCAGGACAUCAAUAUGCUAUAGAUGACUUAUGUCCCGGUCAUUUAGAGUUGCAGAACUUUAUAAAAACUACACCAAUUUUUAUCGGAUUGAGUUCUAUUGGAAGCAUGGGUUUUUUGAAAGACCCUUGUGCAUUUAUUUCUGUUCUUCAGACUGUUCUGAACUCCACAAAUUACAGAUUUAUUCUAUUUACGGCUGGAUAUGAACCCUUAGAAUCAACUGUUCGUACCAUUGCUGCUGAAGCUUCAUUUGGGCAGAAAAAUUGGAGUGAAGAUUGUGUCCUUCUUUGUAACGGGCGACUGCUGUGUUUUUCUGGUUCUGUACCAUAUGAUUGGCUUUUCCCAAAGUGUGCUGCUGUAAUUCACCAUGGAGGCAGGUAGGAGAAUUCAUAUUCUGAUCCCGUGGCUGUUUUGAUAUUAUCACCAAAUUGAAGCAUUCAUGAGGGAUGCUUACUAAUAUAUUUUUGCAUGGAAUGCCUAUCUGUAAAUAGCGGAACUACUGCAGCUGCGUUACAGUCAGGCACACCACAGGUAGUAUGCCCUUUCAUGCUAGAUCAGUUUUACUGGGCGGAGAGAAUGUAUUGGCUUGGUGUUUCGCCUGAACCACUCAAUAGAAAUCAUUUGGUCCCUCAUAAAUAUGAUCAUACAAGUGUCCAGGAAGCUGCACAUGUGCUAUCACUUGCAAUACAUGAUGCAUUAUCAUCAACAAUCAAAGCACGGGCUGCAGAAAUUGCCCAAAGAAUAUUGCUUGAGGAUGGCGUGAAGGAGGCAAUUAAGUACCUCAAGGAAGAAUUGGGUUUAAAUUGAGAUAGUGAAGGGAUUGAAAUGUUGCAAGAAGAAUGCACUAAUUUUUUCCUUGCGAUUGUAUUAUGUCACCAUUCACCAAUUCAGCUCAAUAUAUAUUUUGUCCUUUCUAUUGUAAUGGAUCUAUUAUUGUAUAUGAUCGUUCUGAAAAGAUAUUAAAGAC